rnacentral:tRNA from 1 species
CAUCAUGAAGCUUAUAAGCGUUAACCUUUUAAGUUAAAGUCAGAGACAUUAAAUCUCCAUGAUGA